GAGCGGUAUUGUUUCUUCGGACACGAGAGAGCGGCGCACGGGUGCGGAACACGUGUGCAACCUGCCUUUAUCUGGGGGAUAGCCUUUCGAAAGGAAGAUUAAUACCCCAUAAUAUUUUGAAUGGCAUCAUUUAAAAUUGAAAACUCCGGUGGAUAGAGAUGGGCACGCGCAAGAUUAGAUAGUUGGUAGGGUAACGGCCUACCAAGUCAGUGAUCUUUAGGGGGCCUGAGAGGGUGAUCCCCCACACUGGUACUGAGACACGGACCAGACUCCUACGGGAGGCAGCAGUGAGGAAUAUUGGACAAUGGGCGAGAGCCUGAUCCAGCCAUCCCGCGUGAAGGACGACGGCCCUAUGGGUUGUAAACUUCUUUUGUACAGGGAUAAACCUUUCCACGUGUGGAAAGAUGAAGGUACUGUACGAAUAAGCACCGGCUAACUCCGUG
rnacentral:rRNA from 1 species